AUGAACUGUGAGAAAUGUUCCAGAAGAAAAUGCUUUUAUGGUAAAAUAGGAUUGUUUCUUUCAGAUGAGUUUCUGAGACAUGGCUGGAACUGCUGCUAAUCCUGGACCUGUGGGACCUGGUGUAGCCCUGUUCAUCCUCACUCUCGUGGAAGAGAUUGAAUGGACCCAGAGUGAUGUAAACUUGCAGUAAUGACUCUUGAGCAGAAAGCAAUCGAGUGAUAACAGCAGGGCAGAGAUGAGCAUGAACGCACUGUCCAAGGCAAGAACUUGCAGAUCUUCUGGAAGAUUGCCUUUGCUUCUCUUUAUUAAAGGCUGGUCCUUCUGAUAAAAAUCUAGCCAUCUUCUGUUUCAAUUCUUCUCUACUACGUUCUGUCACACUAGUUGUCAGGAAAGCCAAUGAAGUGAUAAGAUUUUCACUGUGCACUAAGCAGGUAAAGGUGCUGGUAAGUAAAACUCUUCUUUGCUGUGAUAAGUAUUUGACCAUACUGAGGCCUUGCAAGUUCAAGCAUGCCACUUAGAAAGUGGCUGCCCUCAUGGUGCACAAUAAGCUGAUGAAGACGACUGUUAGCAGGAUGUGUCUGUCUAUUUAACAGCAUUCCGUCCCUCAGUAUUCUCUAUACUAAUGUAAUAUUUACUUUUGAAGAGCAGUUUCCCCAGUAUUUGACUCAAAAGGGCCGUCCUGUCAAAUUUAAGCUUCAGGGCUGAUGACUCAGAGCUGUCAGCUCCACGAUUAGGACUGUUUUGCCUCCUGGCUGCCUCUUCCAGGAUCAUUUCCCUGAUUUUUACCUUCACUGGGUGAGUCAUGUCACAAUAUACUCUUUAUGAAGGAAUGGAAGAAUUUUCUGAGAUAUAUCUUUUGAAACAAGUGUACCAAUAUCAGUUCCAGAACUAGCUACCUUCUAAGUAUUAAAGAAGCUUCAUUUCAGGGCCUGAUUCUGAUCCUUCUGCUUAAAUAUUCUGCAGUUGUGUAAACCUUGCAACUCAAGGAGUGUUACUGCACCCACACUUGGCUUGAUUCUCCAUGCUGGAAUCUCCACCUUCUCUAAAAUUAAAUAUGGAUUGCAAAAUCUAUGUUUCCUAUUUUAGGAAAUCCCUGAGAUUUUUCUGAUACAGUGGGAAUAUUUUGCUUUUUUUUUUUUUUUUUUUUUAAAUCCAAACUAAUAUUGAUAUAAACUGUCAUUGAUGUCUUUUUGAAGUGAUACAGCUGCCACGCAACCCUGCCAUCAAUUUCUUAGAAGUGAAAGAGACCCUUUGGUUCUCCUAGAAUAAAGAGUUGGAGCACUCAUCUUGGAAAGCU